GUGCGCAUAAGCGUUUCCUUCACUUUCCCUAUUUUUUGCCCUCUCUCUCCUCUAUUACCCUCUUAGCUCUCCUUUGAGAGCCUUUCCUUCUCUCUCCCAUCGUUUUUCGUGUGCCCAGCUGCCAAUCAAGCUACCCACCUCUCUAUUUGCGGGGGAAGGGAGUCGGGACUCAACCCCCUCUAUUACUAGGGGGUUGUUAUGGUGUUCUGCACAAAGGAACUGUUUGGGGAGUUAUUCCCUGGCUGAUCAUUGGAAUGGAGCAAGGCGAGAAAGGAACAGGAAACUAUCCAAUCACUUCAGAUCCUGCUCUGGUCACCUUAGAUCUAGUGAUGUUGGCACAGCACCCCAGCCAUUAG
rnacentral:lncRNA from 1 species